rnacentral:rRNA from 1 species
GGCUAAACCAUGCACCGAAGCUGCGGCAGCGACACUGUGUGUUGUUGGGUAGGGGAGCGUUCUGUAAGCCUGUGAAGGUGUGUCGUGAGGCAUGCUGGAGGUAUCAGAAGUGCGAAUGCUGACAUAAGUAACGAUAAAGCGGGUGAAAAGCCCGCUCGCCGGAAGACCAAGGGUUCCUGUCCAACGUUAAUCGGGGCAGGGUGAGUCGACCCCUAAGGCGAGGCCGAAAGGCGUAGUCGAUGGGAAACGGGUUAAUAUUCCCGUACUUGGUGUUACUGCGAAGGGGGGACGGAGAAGGCUAUGUUGGCCGGGCGACGGUUGUCCCGGUUUAAGCGUGUAGGCUGGUUUUCCAGGCAAAUCCGGAAAAUCAAGGCUGAGGCGUGACGACGAGGCACUACGGUGCUGAAGCAACAAAUGCCCUGCUUCCAGGAAAAGCCUCUAAGCAUCAGGUAACACGAAAUCGUACCCCAAACCGACACAGGUGGUCAGGUAGAGAAUACCAAGGCGCUUGAGAGAACUCGGGUGAAGGAACUAGGCAAAAUGGUGCCGUAACUUCGGGAGAAGGCACGCUGACAUGUAGGUGAAGUGAUUUACUCAUGGAGCUGAAGUCAGUCGAAGAUACCAGCUGGCUGCAACUGUUUAUUAAAAACACAGCACUGUGCAAACACGAAAGUGGACGUAUACGGUGUGACGCCUGCCCGGUGCCGGAAGGUUAAUUGAUGGGGUCAGCGCAAGCGAAGCUCCUGAUCGAAGCCCCGGUAAACGGCGGCCGUAACUAUAACGGUCCUAAGGUAGCGAAAUUCCUUGUCGGGUAAGUUCCGACCUGCACGAAUGGCGUAAUGAUGGCCAGGCUGUCUCCACCCGAGACUCAGUGAAAUUGAACUCGCUGUGAAGAUGCAGUGUACCCGCGGCAAGACGGAAAGACCCCGUGAACCUUUACUAUAGCUUGACACUGAACAUUGAGCCUUGAUGUGUAGGAUAGGUGGGAGGCUUUGAAGUGUGGACGCCAGUCUGCAUGGAGCCGACCUUGAAAUACCACCCUUUAAUGUUUGAUGUUCUAACGUGGACCCGUAAUCCGGGUUGCGGACAGUGUCUGGUGGGUAGUUUGACUGGGGCGGUCUCCUCCUAAAGAGUAACGGAGGAGCACGAAGGUUGGCUAAUCCUGGUCGGACAUCAGGAGGUUAGUGCAAUGGCAUAAGCCAGCUUGACUGCGAGCGUGACGGCGCGAGCAGGUGCGAAAGCAGGUCAUAGUGAUCCGGUGGUUCUGAAUGGAAGGGCCAUCGCUCAACGGAUAAAAGGUACUCCGGGGAUAACAGGCUGAUACCGCCCAAGAGUUCAUAUCGACGGCGGUGUUUGGCACCUCGAUGUCGGCUCAUCACAUCCUGGGGCUGAAGUAGGUCCCAAGGGUAUGGCUGUUCGCCAUUUAAAGUGGUACGCGAGCUGGGUUUAGAACGUCGUGAGACAGUUCGGUCCCUAUCUGCCGUGGGCGCUGGAGAACUGAGGGGGGCUGCUCCUAGUACGAGAGGACCGGAGUGGACGCAUCACUGGUGUUCGGGUUGUCAUGCCAAUGGCACUGCCCGGUAGCUAAAUGCGGAAGAGAUAAGUGCUGAAAGCAUCUAAGCACGAAACUUGCCCCGAGAUGAGUUCUCCCUGAGACUUAAAGUCUCCUGAAGGAACGUUGAAGACGACGACGUUGAUAGGCCGGGUGUGUAAGCGCAGCGAUGCGUUGAGCUAACCGGUACUAAUGAACCGUGAGGCUUAACCUUACAACGCCGAAG